AGUACAUCGCACACCUGCAUCCUUUGCGAACGAGUCGAACACCCGUUGUACCGCUGUCCUAAAUAUAACGACAUGACGAUAACCAACAAAUGGGAGUGGCAAACCAUUUCCAAUGAUACUUAAAGUGAGACGACAGCGGGAAUUUCCUGGAUGCACACUCUACAACCGAUAAGGAGACUCGAAUCGAAACCGUAAAAACCAUACGA
rnacentral:lncRNA from 1 species